rnacentral:rRNA from 1 species
CCCGAGGAAAAGAAAUCAACCGAGAUUCCCCCAGUAGCGGCGAGCGAACGGGGAGCAGCCCAGAGCCUGAAUCAGUGUGUGUGUUAGUGGAAGCGUCUGGAAAGGCGCGCGAUACAGGGUGACAGCCCCGUACACAAAAAUGCACAUGCUGUGAGCUCGAUGAGUAGGGCGGGACACGUGGUAUCCUGUCUGAAUAUGGGGGGACCAUCCUCCAAGGCUAAAUACUCCUGACUGACCGAUAGUGAACCAGUACCGUGAGGGAAAGGCGAAAAGAACCCCGGCGAGGGGAGUGAAAAAGAACCUGAAACCGUGUACGUACAAGCAGUGGGAGCACAGAGCAAUCUGUGUGACUGCGUACCUUUUGUAUAAUGGGUCAGCGACUUAUAUUCUGUAGCAAGGUUAACCGAAUAGGGGAGCCGAAGGGAAACCGAGUCUUAACUGGGCGUUAAGUUGCAGGGUAUAGACCCGAAACCCGGUGAUCUAGCCAUGGGCAGGUUGAAGGUUGGGUAACACUAACUGGAGGACCGAACCGACUAAUGUUGAAAAAUUAGCGGAUGACUUGUGGCUGGGGGUGAAAGGCCAAUCAAACCGGGAGAUAGCUGGUUCUCCCCGAAAGCUAUUUAGGUAGCGCCUCGUGAAUUCAUCUCCGGGGGUAGAGCACUGUUUCGGCAAGGGGGUCAUCCCGACUUACCAACCCGAUGCAAACUGCGAAUACCGGAGAAUGUUAUCACGGGAGACACACGGCGGGUGCUAACGUCCGUCGUGAAGAGGGAAACAACCCAGACCGCCAGCUAAGGUCCCAAAGUCAUGGUUAAGUGGGAAACGAUGUGGGAAGGCCCAGACAGCCAGGAUGUUGGCUUAGAAGCAGCCAUCAUUUAAAGAAAGCGUAAUAGCUCACUGGUCGAGUCGGCCUGCGCGGAAGAUGUAACGGGGCUAAACCAUGCACCGAAGCUGCGGCAGCGACGCUGAUGCGUUGUUGGGUAGGGGAGCGUUCUGUAAGCCUGCGAAGGUGUGCUGUGAGGCAUGCUGGAGGUAUCAG